GUAGGGAAGAAGAGCUGCAAGAAGAGCAAGAACAGAGCAUCCAUCAGCCUGUGCCAGAAGGUCCUGUCUUCCUUCCUGCCGAGUCCUCUGGACCUGGAACCGGAGCCAGAGCCGUCGUGACAGUGCCAUUGGUUAAAGCUGCAGGAUAUGGUGUUAGAGCAGAAUCGGUGCCAUUCCAAGGUACUUAAGAUACAUGCUAUCUCCAUCUGAUAUCUUCAAGAAACUGUCUGACCUGAAAGUGAAAAUAAAAGCCAGAAUGAGAAUGCUCUAUCUUUCCACUGGAAGAGAGCCACUGGGAGAAGUGAAGCUGAUAGUGUCCAAUCCGGGAGACUCCAACUACAAGCCAGAACAUGAAAGGCCCACAGAGGCCACAUUGUGGAACUGACUAUGAAUGGGGAACAGCUGAAACUCAAAUGAAUAGACGCCAGAUACUGCAAUGAAAAUAGUGGUGUGAUGGGGAAACAGGUUCAAGUUUAAAAACUAAUGUUAACCAUUAAAAUGUUACAUUUGUGAUGGAUUUUUAUCACUAAAUAUUGACUUGAACUUAAAAUAAAAA